rnacentral:rRNA from 3 species
CAUUCACGGAGAGUUUGAUCCUGGCUCAGGACGAACGCUGGCGGCGUGCUUAACACAUGCAAGUCGAACGAUGAACCACUUCGGUGGGGAUUAGUG